rnacentral:rRNA from 1 species
GUGGGGAAUAUUGGGCAAUGGGCGCAAGCCUGACCCAGCAACGCCGCGUGAAGGAAGAAGGCUUUCGGGUUGUAAACUUCUUUUACCAGGGACGAAACAAAUGACGGUACCUGGUGAAUAAGCCACGGCUAACUACGUGCCAGCAGCCGCGGUAAUACGUAGGUAGCGAGCGUUAUCCGGAUUUAUUGGGUGUAAAGGGCGUGUAGGCGGGACAGCAAGUCAGAUGUGAAAACCAGAGGCUCAACCUCUGGCCUGCAUUUGAAACUGUUGUUCUUGAGUGUCGGAGAGGUAAUCGGAAUUCCGUGUGUAGCGGUGAAAUGCGUAGAUAUACGGAGGAACACCAGUGGCGAAGGCGGAUUACUGGACGAUAACUGACGCUGAGGCGCGAAAGCGUGGGGAGCAAACAGGAUUAGAAACCCUGGUAGUCC